CGAACUGUGCAAACGUUAUUCGGAAUCACUGGGCUUACAGGGUGCGUAGGCGGUCUGUUAAGUAGGGUGUGAAAGCCCCCGGCUCAACCGGGGAAUUGCGCCCUAAACUGGCGGACUGGAGUGAGAUAGGGGUGUGCGGAACUUCCGGUGGAGCGGUGAAAUGUGUUGAUAUCGGAAGGAACGCCGGUGGCGAAAGCGGCACACUGGAUCUCAACUGACGCUGAGGCACGAAAGCCAGGGGAGCGAACGGGAUUAGAUACCCCGGUAGUCCUGGCUGUAAACGAUGAGCACUAGCUGGGAGGGACGUAGGUCCUUCCCAACGGAGCGAAAGUGUUAAGUGCUCCGCCUGGGGAGUAUGGUCGCAAGGCUG
rnacentral:rRNA from 1 species